rnacentral:piRNA from 1 species
AUGUGUUUGUCUUAAACGUCAAGUUCUUU